CCUACGGGAGGCAGCAGUAGGGAAUAUUCCACAAUGAGCGAAAGCUUGAUGGAGCGACACAGCGUGCACGAUGAAGGCCCUCGGGUUGUAAAGUGCUGUUGCAAGGGAAGAACAGUUAGUUGAGGAAAUGCUUCUAAUCUGACGGUACCUUGUUAGAAAGCGAUGGCUAACUAUGUGCCAGCAGCCGCGGUAAUACAUAGGUCGCAAGCGUUAUCCGGAAUUAUUGGGCGUAAAGCGUUCGUAGGCUGUUUAUUAAGUCUGGAGUCAAAUCCCAGGGCUCAACCCUGGCUCGCUUUGGAUACUGGUAAACUAGAGUUAGAUAGAGGUAAGCGGAAUUCCAUGUGGAGCGGUGAAAUGCGUAGAUAUAUGGAAGAACACCAAAGGCGAAGGCAGCUUACUGGGUCUAUACUGACGCUGAGGGACGAAAGCGUGGGGAGCAAACAGGAUUAGAUACCCGAGUAGUC
rnacentral:rRNA from 1 species